rnacentral:rRNA from 1 species
UGGAGAGGGGGGCUGCGAGACGGCUACCACAUCGAACAGGAUCCAAGGAAGGCAGCAAAAUACCAAAAUUACCCCAUACCGACGCUUGGCGGAUGAUGAAUAUAAAUAAAGGUAGCGUCGGUAGACUGGUUGAGGGCAAACUCUUCUUUUUUGAAAGUGAACAGAUUUACGGGAAUCAAUAAGAGGGCAAUUCUGGGCCCUGGGGCUGCAGCUGCGGCAAUUCUAGGUUUAUUGGCAUACAUUGAAGUUGUUGCAGUAAAAACGCUCGUUGUCGGAUUCGGGUGCGUG